AUACGUAGGGCGCAAGCGUUAAUCGGAAUUACUGGGCGUAAAGCGUGCGCAGGCGGUUUUGUAAGACAGAGGUGAAAUCCCCGGGCUCAACAUGGGGACUGCCUUUUUGACUGCAAGGCUAGAGUACGGCAGAGGGGGAUGGAAUUUCCCGGGCAGCAGUGAAAUGCGUAGAUAUGCGGAGGAACACCGAUGGCGAAGGCAAUCCCCUGGGCCUGUACUGACGCUCAUGCACGAAAGCGUGGGGAGCAAACAGGAUUAGAUACCCUGGUAGUCCACGCCCUAAACGAUGUCAACUGGUUGUUGGGUCUUCAUUGACUCAGUAACGAAGCUAACGCGUGAAGUUGACCGCCUGGGGAGUACGGCCGCAAGGUUGAAACUCAAAUGAAUUGACGGGG
rnacentral:rRNA from 1 species